UUUAAUAGAAGCUGGCUAGUGGUUUGGUGAUACAGGUAUUGGUGGGGAGGUAAUACUGUGCCUAUAGGUUUCAUUAAAAUGCCAGUGAAUUUGAGGGACAUCUCCUUUUCAAGUCAUUUUUGCCAGCAUUUGUCAUGAUGGUGAGUGAUAGAGAGCAUUUCUGCUAUUGAUGUUGAGAAAAGAAGUGGACCAAGGAAGCGUUUUGAGAUUAUCACUGCACAGAUUUUUAGCCAGAGAAAUCGACUGUGGCUAUAUUUAUCUAACCCUCUGAGAAGGAAUUUACUCCAAAGUUAUCCAUUCUGUCUUAAUGAGGGUACACGUGUGAGUGAAAAACUCAAGAAAUCAACAUUUAAAUCCACUGACAAAGCUUCCAUGAAAAUGGUUAUUCAGCUGAGUGCCAGUCUUCAUUCUUGAGACAGCUGCCCAGGCUUGCAAAGCCAUG